AAUGCUUAUAUCCCAUAAACAAAGAAUUAUAUUUGUAAUUUGGCUAUGAAAGUGGGUGCAAAAAUUACUUGUGGCGGCGCUUGAAAAUGAAACAGUGUAAACGAAACUGUAAGCUCGAUCAUGCGACCUAAAACUCGCACAAGGAGAGUGAUCUUACUUAGAUACACCGAUGCAUCUUUAAAAAUUAUAUUUUAUGUGCUUCUGCUAACUUUGCAUCAUAGGGUCAUUUCUUAUUUCCAGAUAGCAUAUCUUGAAAAGUGGCGGUGCCUUCACGCCGAACAACAUGGUGCAUCAAUGGGUCUUCCAGUGUGCCCUCUUGACAUGGUGAUGCUCGUCAGUGUGCGUCAGUGGCUGCUGGGAACAACCAAACUUGGAGCCAAUGUGCUGUCACGCUCUACUAUCAAAAGAGCGGCAGCAUGACUGAUAAAACUGCUGCUUGAGCGUCAUCUGCAACUCAGUGAAUACCCAACCAAAACCAUAGAGCCCACCAAUCCCUGUGUAAUCAGCUGCAUCUUUCCCUGAGGUGGCACAAAGAAUGAAGUUCCAUACCCGUGAUCUCAUUGACCAGCUUUCUGCAUGGGAGUCCCAGUUGUCAAUAGAAAAAGGCAACCAAGUAUUCCAGGGUGAAAAUGAAGUGUUUCCAGUUAGCAGAAAUGGUGGGCCUGCUGAUCAAAACACAGCUGCAGGACCCAGAACGAGCGCUUUGUGAUAGGGCAGCCUCAGCUCAGUUGCAAUUUCAGUCAGUAACUUUUGAAUGCACCACAAAUCAGUUAUGUAGGUGUGUGUAUAUUGUGAGAAAUUGUUCUAUAAGCUAAUGUGAAGAGUGGUAUAGUUUUUACAGCUAUUAUUUAGGCAAAGUAAGUCUUUUAAAACAUCGGUUACUGGAAAGAUUUAUUCAUAAGAGAGCAUUGUGAAUGCAUCUUUGCUGCCUUUUAAGCUAUCAAUUCGGCCCAAAGCUUGGCCUGUUCUUCUGCUAUGUUUGCUCUACCUGAAAAUCAAGCGUGCUACAUGCAAUGAUGCUCUUAAAAAAGCUAAUCAGUCCCUAUACCCUUUUUAAGAACGUUUUAAUUACCACUUUAACUAAGACAAUUUUGUUUUUGUUGCAUUCAUAAUUAAGAUAUCUGUGUGUUCUCCCUAAACACAUUGUAUUUACUAAGGGCCCACUGUAUUAGUCAUAUUCAUGGUGACCAUACUCCAUCAGAUUUGUAUUUAUGAAAUAAACUGCACUUUUACUGCUCGAUUAAGU
rnacentral:lncRNA from 1 species